rnacentral:rRNA from 1 species
AAUGAACGCUGGCGGCAGGCCUAACACAUGCAAGUCGAGCGAAGUCUUCGGACUUAGCGGCGGACGGGUGAGUAACGCGUGGGAACAUGCCCUUUGGUGCGGAAUAGCCCCGGGAAACAGGGCGUAAUACCGCAUGUGCCCUUCGGGGGUAAGAUUUAUCGCCACAGGAUUGGCGCGCGUUGGAUUCGGUGGUUGGUGGGGUAAUGGCCUACCAAGCCGACGAUCCAUAGCUGGUUGGAGAGGAUGAUCAGCCGCGCUGGGACUGCGACACGGCCCAGACUCCGACGGGAGGCAGCAGUGUGGAAUCUUAGACAAGGGGGGCAAGCCUGAUAUAGCCACGCCGGGUGAGCGAUCAAGGGCUUAGGGUUGUAAAGUUCUCUCAGUGGGGAAGAUAAUGACGGUACCCACAGAAGAAGCCCCGGCUAACUCCGUG